ACGGAGGGUGCAAGCGUUGUUCGGAAUUAUUGGGCGUAAAGGGCGCGUAGGCGGUAAUGAAAGUCAGAUGUGAAAUACUUCGGCUCAACUGAAGAACUGCAUCUGAAACUUCAUAACUAGAGUACGGAAGAGGGAAAUGGAAUUCCCGGUGUAGAGGUGAAAUUCGUAGAUAUCGGGAGGAACACCAGUGGCGAAGGCGAUUUCCUGGUCUGGUACUGACGCUGAGGCGCGAAAGUGUGGGGAGCAAACAGGAUUAGAUACCCUGGUAGUCCACACUGUAAACGGUGAACACUAGGUGUGGGAGGUGUAAUACCUUCUGUGCCGCAGCUAACGCGAUAAGUGUUCCGCCUGGGAAGUACGGCCGCAAGGUUG
rnacentral:rRNA from 1 species